GCAAACUUGGUCAUUUAGAGGAAGUAAAAGUCGUAACAAGGUCUCCGUUGGUGAACCAGCGGAGGGAUCAUUAUCGAGUUCGUUUUUUACGCUCGUAACCCUUUGUGAACCAUUAUAACUCGUUGCUUCGGCGGCGCGUCCCCCCGGGGCGUGCCCGCCGGUGACUUCAGAAUCUCUGUUCGAACCCGACGUUACUUCUGAGUGUUCUUAAGCGAACUAUUAAAACUUUCAACAACGGAUCUCUUGGCUCUAGCAUCGAUGAAGAACGCAGC
rnacentral:misc_RNA from 1 species